rnacentral:rRNA from 1 species
GAUGAACGCUGGCGGCGUGCCUAAUACAUGCAAGUCGAGCGAACGGACGAGAAGCUUGCUUCUCUGAUGUUAGCGGCGGACGGGUGAGAAACACGUGGAUAACCUACCUAUAAGACUGGGAUAACUUCGGGAAACCGGAGCUAAUACCGGAUAAUAUUUUGAACCGCAUGGUUCAAAAGUGAAAGACGGUCUUGCUGUCACUUAUAGAUGGAUCCGCGCUGCAUUAGCUAGUUGGUAAGGUAACGGCUUACCAAGGCAACGAUGCAUAGCCGACCUGAGAGGGUGAUCGGCCACACUGGAACUGAGACACGGUCCAGACUCCUACGGGAGGCAGCAGUAGGGAAUCUUCCGCAAUGGGCGAAAGCCUGACGGAGCAACGCCGCGUGAGUGAUGAAGGUCUUCGGAUCGUAAAACUCUGUUAUUAGGGAAGAACAUAUGUGUAAGUAACUGUGCACAUCUUGACGGUACCUAAUCAGAAAGCCACGGCUAACUACGUGCCAGCAGCCGCGGUAAUACGUAGGUGGCAAGCGUUAUCCGGAAUUAUUGGGCGUAAAGCGCGCGUAGGCGGUUUUUUAAGUCUGAUGUGAAAGCCCACGGCUCAACCGUGGAGGGUCAUUGGAAACUGGAAAACUUGAGUGCAGAAGAGGAAAGUGGAAUUCCAUGUGUAGCGGUGAAAUGCGCAGAGAUAUGGAGGAACACCAGUGGCGAAGGCGACUUUCUGGUCUGUAACUGACGCUGAUGUGCGAAAGCGUGGGGAUCAAACAGGAUUAGAUACCCUGGUAGUCCACGCCGUAAACGAUGAGUGCUAAGUGUUAGGGGGUUUCCGCCCCUUAGUGCUGCAGCUAACGCAUUAAGCACUCCGCCUGGGGAGUACGACCGCAGGGUUGAAACUCAAAGGAAUUGACGGGGACCCGCACAAGCGGUGGAGCAUGUGGUUUAAUUCGAAGCAACGCGAAGAACCUUACCAAAUCUUGACAUCCUUUGACAACUCUAGAGAUAGAGCCUUCCCCUUCGGGGGACAAAGUGACAGGUGGUGCAUGGUUGUCGUCAGCUCGUGUCGUGAGAUGUUGGGUUAAGUCCCGCAACGAGCGCAACCCUUAAGCUUAGUUGCCAUCAUUAAGUUGGGCACUCUAAGUUGACUGCCGGUGACAAACCGGAGGAAGGUGGGGAUGACGUCAAAUCAUCAUGCCCCUUAUGAUUUGGGCUACACACGUGCUACAAUGGACAAUACAAAGGGCAGCGAAACCGCGAGGUCAAGCAAAUCCCAUAAAGUUGUUCUCAGUUCGGAUUGUAGUCUGCAACUCGACUACAUGAAGCUGGAAUCGCUAGUAAUCGUAGAUCAGCAUGCUACGGUGAAUACGUUCCCGGGUCU